rnacentral:ncRNA from 1 species
AAAGAUGGUGAACUAGGCCCGAGCGGGACGAAGCCGGGAGAAAUGCUGGUGGUGGUCCUAAGUGGUUCUGACGCGUAAAUCGAUCACGGAACUAGGGCGUAGGGGCGAAAGACUAAUCGAAAUCUAUCAUGGAG